rnacentral:piRNA from 1 species
GGAGUUCCCUGCUGGAAUUUUUAGG